AAUAUUGCACAAUGGAGGAAACUCUGAUGCAGCGACGCCGCGAGUGUGAAGAAGGUCUUCGGAUUGUAAAGCACUUUAAGUUGGGAGGAAGGGCAGUAAAUUAAUACCUUGCUGUUUUGACGAUACCGACAGAAUAAGCACCGGCUAACUCUGUGCCAGCAGCCGCGGUAAUACAGAGGGUGCAAGCGUUAAUCGGAAUUACUGGGCGUAAAGCGCGCGUAGGUGGUUCAGUAAGAUGGGUGUGAAAUCCCCGGGCUUAACCUGGGAACUGCUUUCAUAACUGCUGAGCUAGAGUACGGUAGAGGGUGGUGGAAUUUCCUGUGUAGCGGUGAAAUGCGUAGAUAUAGGAAGGAACACCAGUGGCGAAGGCGACCACCUGGGCUAAUACUGACACUGAGGUGCGAAAGCGUGGGGAGCAAAC
rnacentral:rRNA from 1 species